ACUCAUUUUUUCAAUUUAUAUGGUUGUAAAUGUUAUUAUUAACUUGUUUUAAAUCGUAAUCUGUUUUGGUAUUUUGAUUGAUCGAUAGAGAUCUGUCUUUAUGCUUCAUGGAUUGAUUCAACGAACGCUGUUAUAUUUUCAAGUGUUGUAAUUAAGCGUAAGCUUCAACUAUACAAAGAUGUAAACGGAUAAAAAAGGUUUGAAAAUUGAAUCCAAGCCUGGUUAGAAUCUGAUCUAUCUAAUUGGUUUUUUUUAUACCAGCAAUCAAGCCAGGAUCUGUGGAUGGUUUGAGCGACUCUUUCUAGGCUGCCAGAUCAUGGAAGUGAAUGUAUCUCAAAUGGUCCUGAAAAUCACCCAGUAAAGGAACAAAAACAGUGACAGAAAUGAAUAAUACCCAAUAAUAGAACACUUUACAUGAGAUUCAUUGCAAUUAUCCUACUCACAAUAACCCAUAAUCAAUUAGUUAAUCAAAUUUUCACACAAUUAGCUUGAUUGUUGGCCUUGAUGACGAUGAAACUAAAGCACCUUUUUUCUUACGGAAGGAAUGGAACUGCAAAAAUGUGACCUUGACUUUCACUCUUUUUAAGGGUAAUACACAUCGGAAUAUUUUUUCAGGGAAACACUCUUCCUCAUCAUCAUGGUCCAGUCUAGUUAUUUUUCAUCAUCAUCCUAUCAUUUGCUUUCUCUUCUUCUCUUUCUUUCUCCCUUGUUCAGGUUAUUUCACUUCAUUUUCAUGUGAAUAAAGCCAAGAGAACACUUUUCUUUCCUUAUUUUUUUCUCACUUCCAAUAGCAUUGUUUCCCAAAAAUCUUAUCAAAACCAAGCAAAGUAACUCUAUCACCGCCAUGACCAUCAUCAUCAUCAACGAAAACAUCAUUAGUAGCCAAGCAAAAAUAAAGUCAAAAUGGAUGCAAAAUGGGAAUCGCAUUGAGAAACAAAUGAAGACAACUUUCCCUUUUGGAUGAUCAAAUUAUGGAUAGAGUAAAUGCUUCAUCCAUCAGAGCAGCUCGUUAUUAAUCAAUCUAAACCUGAUUAAAUGGUUAGGAAGCAUAUUAAUUAAAGCAAUGAUAUCUUGAAUCUAAUGAACGGAUACAAAACGUGAAACGAGGAUGAUUGUGUGAAUCAACGAUGAAUAUCAUUAAAAUGUACAAAAUGUUCGUCAUGUAAAAGCUGAACCUACUAAACUGUUGACUGAAACUGUUAGCUUAACUGUUAACAAGUUGAACAUUGGAGUCAUUAAGAUGAAUCGUGAAAACAUAAAUAACAAAAGUUGAACAAUUUGUUUCUCAGUUAUAGUGUUUUUAAGUGAUUGUAAAAUGAUUUCAAUUACUGUAUACUUUGGUUAAAGUUACCGUAAAUCUGUAAUAAUGACAAUAAUCAAGGAUGCUUGUUUCCAUUGAUAAUUAUCUCAACAGCAACAACAAUCUUGACCAACUAUAAAGUUUAAAUUAUAAAA